CAAUUAUCGCGGGCGUGGGUCACCAACGAUGGGUGGUCAUCCUCACUGAUCUCAAAAAUAUGGCGGACUGUCAUGAAUGGCGGACACUGAUUGGUCCAAUUUAAAGUUUGCAUUAUAACGACUGCAUGACGACAGCGAAAUAGCAAACAUUUCUUGAUUUGAUGAUUGAUAAAUUUCUUGCAAAUAUAUUUCAUUUUUGCUCGUAUUUCUGCAAGAUUUUGUAAAUUUCAAAAGAUUUCUCAGAAAGAAAAGGCGAAAGAAUCGGCUAAAAGAAGGGAGCCGACGUUAACGAAGGUAAGUUUGCUUUAAAUAUUGAUUUUAUAAUGGCUUUAAAACACAACGGCCUUUGCGUAUAUGAAACAACUAAACAAGACAGCAU